UGCUCAGUGAUUAAGCCAUGUAGGUUCAUGGCAUAUAAGCUAUUCUGAGUCUAUAGGAUGCCAUCAAACGUUAUGAGAGCA
rfam:Hordeum vulgare subsp. vulgare, WGS project CAJW01000000 data, contig: morex_contig_39253